rnacentral:rRNA from 1 species
GAUGAACGCUGGCGGCGUGCCUAAUACAUGCAAGUCGAGCGGACGGACGAGGAGCUUGCUGCGCUGUUGUUAGCGGAGCGCGGGUGUGUAACACGUGGAUAACCUACUUAUAAUACUGAGAUAACUUCGGGAAACCGGAGCUAAUACCGGAGAAUAUUUUGAACCGCAGGGGGCGAAAGUGAAAGACGGUCUUGCUGUCACUUAUAGAGGGAUCCGCGCUGCAUUAGCUAGUUGGUAAGGUAACGGCUUACCAAGGCUACGAUGCGUAGCCGACCUAAGAGGGUGAUCGGCCACACUGGAACGGAGACACGGUCCAGACUACUACGGGAGGCAGCAGUCUGGAAUCUGCCGCAAUGGGCGAAAGCCUGGCGGAGCAACGCCGCGUGAGUGAUGACGGUCUUCGGAUCGUAAAACUCUGUUAUUAGGGAAGAACAUAUGUGUAAGUAACUGUGCAGAUCUUGACGGUACUUAGUCAGAAAGCCACGGCUAACUACGUG